CAGAUAGCAUGUUUAAGGGGAAGAGUUCGUCCUUGUUUGCAGAUUCUGUUCCAAGCACUCCUGCCUAUGCAGAUAACUUGUUUAAGGGUCAGGGUUCAUCCAUAUUUGGAGAUUCUGUUCCAAGCACUCCUGCCUAUGCAGAUAACUUGUUCAAGGGGAAGGGUUCGUCCAUAUUUGCAGAUUCUGUUCCAAGCACUCCUGCCUAUGCAGAUAACAUGUUCAAGGGGAAGAGCUCAUCUAUUUUUGCAGAUUCUGUUCCAAGCACCCCUGCUUAUCAUUAUGGGAGCUCCCAACAGGGUUUUGGUGAAGGAUCAGAUGGUUACUCGUUUGACAGCUUCUCU
rnacentral:lncRNA from 1 species